rnacentral:rRNA from 1 species
GACGAACGCUGGCGGCGUGCUUAACACAUGCAAGUCGAGCGGUAAGGCCCUUUCGGGGGUACACGAGCGGCGAACGGGUGAGUAACACGUGGGUGACCUGCCCUCAGCUCUGGGAUAAGCCUGGGAAACUGGGUCUAAUACUGGAUAUGACUCCACGGUGCAUGUCGUGGGGUGGAAAGCCUUGUGCGGCUGAGGAUGGGCCCGCGGCCUAUCAGCUUGUUGGUGGGGUGANGGCCUACCAAGGCGACGACGGGUAGCCGGCCUGAGAGGGCGACCGGCCACACUGGGACUGAGACACGGCCCAGACUCCUACGGGAGGCAGCAGUGGGGAAUAUUGCACAAUGGGCGAAAGCCUGAUGCAGCGACGCCGCGUGAGGGAUGACGGCCUCGG